rnacentral:ncRNA from 1 species
GCCGACCGCUCCACGUCCUCACCGGCGGCCCGGGCUGACACAAAGGAGGAAAUUCCGCCGGCCGGCGGUGCGGCAGUGUGGAGACCUGCCGUAAGCUCUUCCGGGCACGCUCCCGGGAUGAGGAGGCCCCUGCGCGGAGGCAAGGGGGCUGCGGCCGAUCUGUAUGGC